UUAUUUGUGAUGUUCUCUUCUGGAUGAAAUCAAAGAUGCCUGCAUAUGGUUUUCCUAGGCUUACUUGAAACCUGACUGAACUCCUAACAUCCACAGCAUCCUGAAGCAAGGAGAUCUACAGCUUAAUCACACAAUCUCC
rnacentral:lncRNA from 1 species